GCAGAAUGGUCAGCCACAUUCCUGGCUCCUACCCCCUUGAAGUCAGUACCUCUGCCCCCGUCUGUCACCUCUGAGUUGUGACAACUGAAACGUUUCUAGGCAUUGCCAAGUGUCCUGGGACAGAGGGGUUGGGGAUGGGGGUCGGCGGCAAACUGGCCAAGGCUGAGAACCACUGGAUUAAAAGAUAGUGCAAGUACAAGCUACUAACUUGGUAAAAAGUAGGUAAGCCCCAGGGCUUAAACACAAGUGGGAGAUGUUCCAGGCUUUCAGGGGUCCUCAAAGCCAUCGCACCUGCUGUGGAGAGAACCAGAAUCCCGGGGUCUGGGAAGGUUCCAAACGCAGAGGAAAUGCAUCAGUAUGACGACUCAGGAAAUGAAUAUUCUCGGGGUCUGCUUUCCCUUCCAGAUGGUGCCAGAGCUGGGUGGAAUGUGCGUUCAAGGCAGGAAGGAGGUGGGAAGGCGGCACCAUCCACGUUUGCUCCUUUGCCGUCAUGGCAGAUGCUGUCUCACAAGCCAUCACAAGCCAUCACAAGGUCCCCAGGCCAAAAGGGGUCACAUGGGCAUGCUGCCUGGGGAGAGACUGGGAAGAUAAGAAACUGGAUUGUUAUGACUGAAUUGGAGCUGCCAUUGGGCCAUGCCCUGCCUGCUUCCUUCUGGUUCACGAUGACGUCCUUCUCUCCUGCUUUCCCUUCACUCAAGCAGCCUGAUUCCAGCAGCGCCUUGAUCUGAGCAGAUGACAACGUGUCUAUACUUCUCUGAACCUUUAGAGGAUCAACACCCUAAUUUAAACUUGAAUCCAAUUUCCAAUUUUGGUAGAAAUGAUUGUUUAAUUUAUCAGAUUAAAACUGCUUUGUGUGUUGACGGGAAAUAGUUCACUCAAGUGUGUAUCUGUUAAUUUGUCAUCAAAAGAGCACUUUGCCUAACAGAAAGGACUGACAAGUGUGCCAAAUGUUUACAAUCUUUUGUGAAAUUGCAGUUUAUCCUUGGUGUGUAUCUGUCAGUUACUGUUAAAAACAUUACCUGUACUUUUUACUGUUAAAUAUUAGGUGCUACGAUAAGUGGUUUUAAGCAACUUCCAGACUGUUCAUUUGAGCUGACACUGCCGUCAUCCCCAUUGUCCGUGGGCACUCACGCCGUCAUGAGCCUGCUCUCCCAUCAGGACUCACCUCUCCCCCGUGGCCCCAGGGGGCUGUGCUGGGAGGCCCCAUGUGUGUUCUUGACCCACCAGACCCCCUCAUUU